rnacentral:rRNA from 1 species
AUUGAACGCUGGCGGCAUGCCUUACAUAUGCAAGUCGAACGGCAGCACGGGGCAACCUGGUGGCGAGCGGCGAACGGGUGAGUAAUGCAUCGGAACGUACCUUUCAGUGGGGGAUAACGUAGCGAAAGUUACGCUAAUACCGCAUAUUCUGUGAGCAGGAAAGCAGGGGAUCGCAAGACCUUGCGCUGAUUGAGCGGCCGAUGUCAGAUUAGCUAGUUGGUGAGGUAAAGGCUCACCAAGGCGACGAUCUGUAGCGGGUCUGAGAGGAUGAUCCGCCACACUGGAACUGAGACACGGUCCAGACUCCUACGGGAGGCAGCAGUGGGGAAUUUUGGACAAUGGGGGCAACCCUGAUCCAGCCAUGCCGCGUGAGUGAAGAAGGCCUUCGGGUUGUAAAGCUCUUUCGGCCGGGAAGAAAUCGCACGGGCUAAUACCCUGUGUGGAUGACGGUACCGGAAUAAGAAGCACCGGCUAACUACGUGCCAGCCGCCGCAGUAAAAC